CGACCUGAGCUCAGACAAGAAC
rnacentral:rRNA from 1 species